ensembl:snRNA U6 U6 spliceosomal RNA
UUACUUCAGCAGCAGAUAAUUUUAAAAUUGGAACAAUACACAGAAAAUUAGUAUGGCCCCGUUCAAGAGUGACAUGCAAAUUCAUGAAGUCUUCCAUAUUUUA